AGUGAACGCUGGCGGUAGGCCUAACACAUGCAAGUCGAACGGCAGCACAGUAAGAGCUUGCUCUUACGGGUGGCGAGUGGCGGACGGGUGAGGAAUACAUCGGAAUCUACUUUUUCGUGGGGGAUAACGUAGGGAAACUUACGCUAAUACCGCAUACGACCUACGGGUGAAAGCAGGGGAUCUUCGGACCUUGCGCGAUUGAAUGAGCCGAUGUCGGAUUAGCUAGUUGGCGGGGUAAAGGCCCACCAAGGCGACGAUCCGUAGCUGGUCUGAGAGGAUGAUCAGCCACACUGGAACUGAGACACGGUCCAGACUCCUACGGGAGGCAGCAGUGGGGAAUAUUGGACAAUGGGCGCAAGCCUGAUCCAGCCAUACCGCGUGGGUGAAGAAGGCCUUCGGGUUGUAAAGCCCUUUUGUUGGGAAAGAAAAGCAGCAGGUUAAUACCCCGUUGUUCUGACGGUACCCAAAGAAUAAGCAACGGCUAACUUCGUG
rnacentral:rRNA from 1 species